rnacentral:rRNA from 1 species
UACGUAGGUGACAAGCGUUGUCCGGAUUUACUGGGCGUAAAGAGCGCGCAGGCGGUCGUUCAAGUCGAGUGUGAAAGCCCCCGGCUCAACUGGGGAGGGUCAUUCGAUACUGAUCGACUCGAAGGCAGGAGAGGGUAGUGGAAUUCCCGGUGUAGUGGUGAAAUGCGUAGAUAUCAGGAGGAACACCGGUGGCGAAGGCGGGACUCUGGACAGUUCCUGACACUGAGGCACGAAGGCCAGGGGAGCAAACGGG